rnacentral:rRNA from 1 species
CCUACGGGUGGCAGCAGUGGGGAAUAUUGGACAAUGGGGGGAACCCUGAUCCAGCCAUGCCGCGUGUGUGAAGAAGGCCCUCGGGUUGUAAAGCACUUUCAGUGAGGAAGAACGCCUGGUGGUUAAUACCCAUCAGGAAAGACAUCACUCACAGAAGAAGCACCGGCUAACUCCGUGCCAGCAGCCGCGGUAAUACGGAGGGUGCGAGCGUUAAUCGGAAUUACUGGGCGUAAAGCGCGCGUAGGUGGCUUGAUAAGCCGGUUGUGAAAGCCCCGGGCUCAACCUGGGAACGGCAUCCGGAACUGUCAAGCUAGAGUGCAGGAGAGGAAGGUAGAAUUCCCGGUGUAGCGGUGAAAUGCGUAGAGAUCGGGAGGAAUACCAGUGGCGAAGGCGGCCUUCUGGACUGACACUGACACUGAGGUGCGAAAGCGUGGGUAGCAAACAGGAUUAGAUACCCGGGGUC